UAGGUCCACCAUACCACCCUGAAUAUGCCUGUUCUCUUCUGAUUUUGGAAGUUAAACAAGGUUGGCCCUCCUUAGUACUUUGAUCUCGCCUGAAACCUUGGAGAGCUAC
rnacentral:rRNA from 1 species